UACGGAGGGUGCAAGCGUUAAUCGGAAUUACUGGGCGUAAAGCGCACGCAGGCGGUUUGUUAAGUCAGAUGUGAAAUCCCCGGGCUCAACCUGGGAACUGCAUUUGAAACUGGCAAGCUUGAGUCUCGUAGAGGGGGGUAGAAUUCCAGGUGUAGCGGUGAAAUGCGUAGAGAUCUGGAGGAAUACCGGUGGCGAAGGCGGCCCCCUGGACGAAGACUGACGCUCAGGUGCGGAAGCGUGGGGAGCAAACAGG
rnacentral:rRNA from 1 species